GCUGGGCGUGGUGGCGCGUGCCUGUAGUCCCAGCUACUCAGGAGGCUGAGAUACACGAGAAUUGCUUGAACCCAGGAGGCAGAGGUUGCAGUGAGCAGAGAUCAUGCCACUGCACUCCACCCUGGGUAACAGAGUGAGACCGUGUCUCAA
ensembl:misc_RNA Metazoa_SRP Metazoan signal recognition particle RNA